CCCAAAAAAAUUGUUUCUGUUGCAAACAUUACUAGCUUAUAAUUAUAUUUGUAGGAUAUGAAUAAUAGAUUUAGAUAUAUUAUCUAAGUUGUUCUGAUUGCAUCUCUCUUGUUUAGUUUGGUAGUUUUCUUGUAUCUUGCAGCAAGUUACCGUUAAUUUCUCUUAAUUAUGAACCCCCAAGUUACAUCACUAGUCCUGGUUUGAACUUCUUCAUACUUAAUAACAUUUUUGCGGCACACUACCAAUUUUGUCUGCUAUGUAGAACCAACUCAUUUAAAACCAUAGAAGCGUCAUUAAGAGUUGACGCAUUAGCAAGUUUUGGGUUCAAAAUAUAUCCACAGUUUUGGCUUAUGAUGCAAAAAAUCUUAAAGCUCUUUAUCGAAGAGGUCAAGCUUCCAAGGAACUUGGUCUGCUAAAGGAUGCUGUUGAUGAUUGAGCAUAGCAUGUGAAGAUUGUCCAGUAGUGUCAAGUUCUUGUGACAGCCAUGAGGACUGGUGGUGAGAGCAGGUGAUGAAGUUGAAGUUUAAGCACCAAAAGAUAGCCAUAAGACUUAUAUGACACAAGUAUCAGCUAUUAAGUUUGUGGUUUUACUUGUAUUAGAUACUUUUAUGUUAUUUUAGUAUGAUUUGACUUUAUUAUUGUGACUUUUGAGUACUUGCAUAACACUUGUUAUUAGUGUAUAUUGAGAUUUGGAUUAUUGUGCUUUUAUUUAUAAAUUAUUCUUUGAGCAUGUAAUUAUAUAAUGAUAAUAAGUAUAGGGCAUUUUUUGUUGGA